rnacentral:lncRNA from 1 species
AGUACCAUAUGGACCUGGACAAAGCAUUGUUAAGUUACAGAUUCCAUAUUGGAGAUCUUUGAUCACAGGAAACCACCAGGAAAAACAAACAAAUGAUCUCUUUUGUGAUUCUAUUUUCUAUACUCUUCCAAAAUUCUGGAUCAGAUUCUGAGGUUUCCUCUAUUUCUGGGAUGACAGUGCUUUGGUGAACAAAAUGUCAGCUUAGACUUUUUCUACCCUGCUAUUCAGCGAACAUUCAAAAUAAGUAGGUAUGAUUAUUUUAAAUAUUUUGUUUUGUUUUUUGUUUUUUUUCCCCCUCCCCUAAAUGCCUGUCUCCACAGCACCUGAGGUUUUAAAAAAUUGAUAGUGGUAACGUUUGAGUGGAGGGAGCCUUAGUUGAGGAUUUCAUGAUAGACCUAAUCUUGUUCAAGAUCUUUGACUCCCCGUCUAUUAUUUAGAUAAUACUUAGAUACACGGGAAACUCCUCCAAAGUUAUAGGAACAGUCAUGCAGGAAUGGCUUCCACAGAGCACAGUCCUCUUCAAAUGCCCACAGAAGGGACGUUCCAAGAGUUUAGACGUACCAUAUUAAAAAUAUUAGGGUGGAA